GCCCCAGUAACGGCGAGCGAAGCGGCAACAGCCCAAAUUUGAAAUCUGGCCCCGUUGGGGUCCGAGUUGUAAUUUGGAGAGGAUGCUUCGGCGGCGGCCCCGGGGCAAGUUCCCUGGAACCGGAUGCCGCAGAGGGUGAGAGCCCCGUACCCGCCCGGGUGCCCGCCGCUAGACGAAGCGCCUUCGACGAGUCGAGUUGUUUGGGAAUGCAGCUCAAAGCGGGAGGUAAAUUUCUUCUAAGGCUAAAUACCGGCCAGAGACCGAUAGCGCACAAGUAGAGUGAUCGAAAGAUGAAAAGCACUUUGGAAAGAGAGUCAAACAGCACGUGAAAUUGUUGAAAGGGAAGCUCUUGCUGCCAGACGUGCCGUGGGCGCUCAGCCCCCCUCGCGGGGGGUGUACUCGCCCGCGGCGGGCCAGCGUCAGUCCCGGCGGCCGGAUAAAGGCUCGGGGAACGUAGCCCCUCUCGGGGGGUGUUAUAGCCCCGGGCGCCAUGCGGCCCGCCGGAACCGAGGCCUGCGUUCGCUUGGACGCUGGCGUAAUGGUCGCAAGCGACCCGUCUUGAAACACGGACCAAGGAGUCUAACAUCUGUGCGAGUGUGUGGGUGGCAAGCCCAUGCGCGGAAUGAAAGUGAACGGAGGUGGGACCCCGCGCGGGCGCACCAUCGACCGAUCCUGAUGUCCUCGGAUGGAUUUGAGUAGGAGCAUAGCUGUUGGGACCCGAAAGAUGGUGAACUAUGCGUGUUUAGGGUGAAGCCAGAGGAAACUCUGGUGGAGGCUCGCAGCGGUUCUGACGUGCAAAUCGAUCGUCAAAAAUGCGUAUAG
rnacentral:rRNA from 1 species